AUUGAACGCUGGCGGCAUGCUUUACACAUGCAAGUCGAACGGUAACAGGCCGCAAGGUGCUGACGAGUGGCGAACGGGUGAGUAGUGCAUCGGAACGUGCCCAGUCGUGGGGGAUAACUACUCGAAAGAGUAGCUAAUACCGCAUACGAUCUAUGGAUGAAAGCGGGGGACCGUAAGGCCUCGCGCGAUUGGAGCGGCCGAUGUCAGAUUAGGUAGUUGGUGGGGUAAAGGCUCACCAAGCCAACGAUCUGUAGCUGGUCUGAGAGGACGGCCAGCCACACUGGGACUGAGACACGGCCCAGACUCCUACGGGAGGCAGCAGUGGGGAAUUUUGGACAAUGGGCGCAAGCCUGAUCCAGCAAUGCCGCGUGCAGGAAGAAGGCCUGCGGGUUGUAAACUGCUUUUGUACGGAACGAAACGGCUCUGGUUAAUACCCAGGGCUAAUGACGGUACCGUAAGAAUAAGCACCGGCUAACUACGG
rnacentral:rRNA from 1 species